rnacentral:tRNA from 1 species
GAAUUAUUAUGCCCCCCUGUUGAGCUGCUAACUUAACUUAAGACGGUUAAAUUCCGUUUAUAAUUCU